CAGAGGCUAUUGCUAUAAGGUUUUGACUAAGCCAUGCGAGUCGAGAGGUGAAAGACCUCGGCAUACUGCUCAGUAACACGUGGAUAAUCUGCCCUCAGGUGAGGAAUAAUCCCGGGAAACUGGGGCUAAUGCCUCAUAGGAGACGGGUGCUGGAAUGCUCUGUCUCCGAAAGGUCCGCCGCCUGAGGAUGAGUCUGCGUCCGAUUAGGUUGUUGUUGGGGUAACGGCCCAACAAGCCUUUGAUCGGUACGGGUUGUGGGAGCAAGAGCCCGGAGAUGGAUUCUGAGACAUGAAUCCAGGCCCUACGGGGCGCAGCAGGCGCGAAAACUUUACAAUGCGAGCAAUCGUGAUAAGGAAACCCUGAGUGCCUGUCAAUGCAGGCUGUUCUGGUGUCUAACACACACCAGGAGAAAGGGCGGGGCAAGACCGGUGCCAGCCGCCGCGGUAAUACCGGCUGCUCGAGUGAUAGCCACUUUUACUGGGCUUAAAGCGUUCGUAGCUUGGUCGUUAAGUCUCUGGGGAAAUCUUUUGGCUCAACCAAAAGGCGUCUCAGGGAAACUGACGAUCUUGGAACCGGGAGAGGUAAGACGUACUUCGGGGGUAGGAGUGAAAUCUUGUAAUCCCCGAGGGACGACCGAUGGCGAAGGCAUCUUACCAGAACGGCUUCGACAGUGAGGGACGAAAGCUGGGGGAGCAAACCGGAUUAGAUACCCGGGUAGUCCCAGCCGUAAACGAUGUGCGUUAGGUGUGUCAGUGACCACGAGUCGCUGAGGUGCCGAAGGGAAACCGUGAAACGCACCGCCUGGGAAGUACGGUCGCAAGGCUGAAACUUAAAGGAAUUGGCGGGGGAGCACCACACCGGGUGGAGCCUGCGGUUUAAUUG
rnacentral:rRNA from 1 species